GGGGAUGUACUGGUUUCGACGGAGUUGUCGAGAUUAGAAUAGCGAGUAGAGGGUUCCGUUGGCCUCUUAAAAAAACGGAAAACUUUUAAAUGCAGAAAAACAACCUGUAUUAGCAGCUGCUUAAUUUAAGCCUGCACAAUGCUUCUGACGAUCUGCAAUCAGGAUGCAUUGUUAAUUUGCAGACCUUACCUAUCGGAGGUUAAAUAGGUAAACUUUCAAAUAUAAGCUUUGCUAUUUGAUCGUAUUAUGAAGCUACUUUAUUUUCUAAUUUGUCAUUAGAUGAGGAUUUAAAGGAAUUUUAAAAUAAUGACUGCACUCGGAGAAAUUCUUUUUGAAGCAGUUUCGGACAGGGGUUCGAUUCCCCUCAUCUCCACCA
rnacentral:tmRNA from 1 species